rnacentral:misc_RNA from 1 species
AUUGAUUUCAAGGACAGAGUGAAGAACUUGGGCGCAAGCUUAGUUAAACAGGUUGCUAAUGCCACUAAUGAUGCUGCUGGUGAUGGUACAACUUGUGCUACUGUCCUUACCAAAGCAAUACUCACUGAAGGAUGCAAGUCAGUGGCUGCUGGGAUGAAUGCAAUGGAUCUAAGGCGUGGCAUCACGAUGGCAGUUGAUGCUGUGGUAACUAACUUAAAGAGCAGAGCGAGGAUGAUCAGUACCUCGCAGGAGAUAGCUCAGGUUGGUACUAUAUCUGCUAAUGGAGACAGGGAAAUCGGUGAGCUCAUUGCAAAGGCCAUGGAGAGGGUUGGCAAGGAGGGCGUAAUUACAAUAUCGGAUGGAAAAACACUCGACAACGAAUUGGAAGUUGUAGAAGGAAUGAAACUUGAUAGGGGCUAUGUGUCUCCUUAUUUCAUCACCAACCAAAAAA